rnacentral:rRNA from 1 species
AUACGUAGGGGGCGAGCGUUGUCCGGAAUGAUUGGGCGUAAAGGGCGCGUAGGCGGCGCGGUAAGUCUGGAGUGAAAGUCCUGCUUUCAAGGUGGGAAUUGCUUUGGAUACUGCCGCGCUUGAGUGCAGGAGAGGUUAUCGGAAUUCCCGGUGUAGCGGUGAAAUGCGUAGAGAUCGGGAGGAACACCAGUGGCGAAGGCGGGUAACUGGACUGCAACUGACGCUGAGGCGCGAAAGUGUGGGGAGCAAACAGGAUUAGAUACCCUGGUAGUCCACACUGUAAACGAUGAAUGCUAGGUGUAAGAGGUAUCGACCCCUUCUGUGCCGCAGUCAACACAAUAAGCAUUCCGCCUGGGGAGUACGGCCGCAAGGUUGAAACUCAAAUGAAUUGGCGGGG